rnacentral:rRNA from 1 species
UGGUGGAGCGAUUUGUCUGGUUAAUUCCGAUAACGAACGAGACUCUAGCCUGCUAAAUAGCCAACUGAUCCGCAGCGUCAGUUGCUAUAAGCUUCUUAGAGGGACAGGCGACGUUUAGUCGCACGAGAUUGAGCAAUAACA